UUGGAGGGCAAGUCUGGUGCCAGCAGCCGCGGUAAUUCCAGCUCCAAUAGCGUAUAUUAAAGUUGUUGCAGUUAAAAAGCUCGUAGUUGAAUUUCGGGAUUCAUCCGUUGGUCGGGCUUCACGGUCCGCACUGGUGUGAUGGGUUCCUACCUUCUGAAUAACCGGCAUGCCAUUAAUUUGGUGCGCCGGGGAAGCAGAACUAUUACCUUGAAAAAAUUAGAGUGCUUAAAGCAGGCAAGUGCCUGAAUAGGUUAGCAUGGAAUAAUAAAAUAGGACGGCAUGGUUCUAUUUUGUUGGUUUCUAGGAUCACCGUAAUGAUUAAUAGGGAUAGUUGGGGGCAUUAGUAUUCAAUUGUCAGAGGCGAAAUUCUUGGAUUUAUUGAAGACUAACUUCUGCGAAAGCAUUUGCCAAGGAUGUUUUCAUUAAUCAAGAACGAAAGUUAGGGGAUCGAAGACGAUCAGAUACCGUCGUAGUCUUAACCAUAAACUAUGCCGACUAGGGAUCGGAUGAUGUUAAUUUUUUAAUGACUCAUUCGGCGCCUUACGGGAAACCAAAGUGUUUGGGUUC
rnacentral:rRNA from 1 species